CAAGGAAGAAGAUGGGAGCUGAAAGGAAGACAGAGCAGUAUUCUCUCUGCCUAGGAUUCCUACCUUCUCCUGCAAGGUUGCCAAGAGUUCAACCAAGAGGAAAAAAGAGCACGGCCAUUGUCUUCUGAGAAACAAAGAUGAAUCUUGCCCAAAGUGAAGAAUAGGCAGAGCUCUGAUUCUUAAAGUCUCAUUGAAACGCCCCUGUGUGUGAACUUGACAGGAAGACCCUACUGCUGAAGACAUCAUUUAUUGGACUCAAUGAAAGAGGAAAAAAUCAUUUUUGUACUAACUUGGAAGCUCUAUUCCUAGUGGCUAGUUUAUAUAGUGCUGGAGGUGCUAUGAAUGCUAUGAGAAAAAUAAUCAUCAAUCUCACCCAAUGUGAGCCAUGAAAGCUGAAAUAAUGACAAACCUAACAAGAUAUGACCACUAAUGCAAUAAUGACAUGAAUGUUGUGGAUGUAAGCAACCAUUAUCUGAUAAUUCUAAGCUCUGUGUAUUAGUCAGGGCUCUCUAGAGGAAUAAAACUUAUAGAAUGAAUAUAUCUAUCUAUACUUCUACCUCAGUCUCUAUCUCAAGAGGAAUUUUUUAAAGAAUGGCUUACAGGCUGUGGUCAAGUUAGUCCAAUAAUGGCUGUCUAAAAAUGGAAGACAGAAGAAUUUAGUAGUUGUUCAGUCCACAAGGCUGAUGUCUCAGCUGGUCUUCAGUAUAUGUCUAAAUCUUGAAGUAGUAGGCUCUAAUGCCAGUGAAGGAAUUGACUUGCUAUCAAGAACAAGAGCAAGCAGACACAGAGUAAGCUUUCUUCUUCCAUGUCCUUUACAUAGCCUGCCAGCAGAAGGUAUUAUUCCAGAUUAGGGGUUGAUCUUCCUCACUCAAAAGACCUGGAUU